UAUUUCAGGCGUUUAUACUGGUGA
rnacentral:miRNA from 1 species